rnacentral:rRNA from 1 species
GAUGAACGCUGGCGGCGUGCCUAAUACAUGCAAGUCGAGCGAACAGACGCGGCGCUUGCUGCUUUGACGUUAGCGGCGGACGGGUGUGUAACACGUGGAUAACCUACUUAUAAGUCGGGGAUAACUUCGGGAAUCCGGCGCUAAUACCGGAUAAUAUCUUGAACCGCAGGGUUCAAUGGUGAAAGUCGGCUUUGCUGGCACUUCUCGCUGGAUCCGGGCCGCAUUAGCUAGUUGGUACGGUAACGGCUUACCAAGGCAACGAUGCGUAGCCGACCUGAGAGGGUGAUCGGCCACACUGGAGCUGGGACACGGUCCAGACUCCUGCGGUAGGCAGCAGUAGGGAAUCGUCCGCAGUGGGCGGAAGCCUGACGGAGCGGCGCGGCGUGAGUGAUGACGGUCUUCCGAUCGUAAUACUCUCUUAUUGGUGGAAAACAGAUGUGUCAGUUGCUGUACACGUCUUGACGGUACCUGAUCAGAAAGCACCGGCUAACUACGUG